CGAACGUUAGCGGCGCGCCUAACACAUGCAAGUCGCACGAGAAAGGGGGCAACCCCCGGUACAGUGGCGCACGGGUGAGUAACACGUGGGUGAUCUGCCCAGAAGAAGGGGGAUAACCUCGUCGAAAGGGGGGCUAAUACCGCAUAGGACCACCGGGGGCUUUGGCUCUGUGGUGAAAGGGGGCCUCUGUUUACAAGCUCCUGCUUCUGGAUGAGCCCGCGUCCCAUCAGCUAGUUGGUAGGGUAAUGGCCUACCAAGGCUACGACGGGUAGCUGGUCUAAGAGGAUGGCCAGCCACACUGGAACUGAGACACGGUCCAGACUCCUACGGGAGGCAGCAGUGGGGAAUCUUGCGCAAUGGGCGAAAGCCUGACGCAGCGACGCCGCGUGGGUGACGAAGGCCUUCGGGUUGUAAAGCCCUGUGGGGUAGAACGAACUGGCAUCGGGCUAAUAUCCCGGUGUCUUGACGGUACUGCCUUAGCAAGCAUCGGCUAACUCUGUGCCAGCAGCCGCGGUAAGACAGAGGAUGC
rnacentral:rRNA from 1 species